rnacentral:rRNA from 2 species
AAAUUGAAGAGUUUGAUCAUGGCUCAGAUUGAACGCUGGCGGCAGGCCUAACACAUGCAAGUCGAACGGUAACAGGAAGCAGCUUGCUGCUUCGCUGACGAGUGGCGGACGGGUGAGUAAUGUCUGGGAAACUGCCUGAUGGAGGGGGAUAACUACUGGAAACGGUGGCUAAUACCGCAUAACGUCGCAAGACCAAAGAGGGGGACCUUCGGGCCUCUUGCCAUCAGAUGUGCCCAGAUGGGAUUAGCUUGUUGGUGAGGUAACGGCUCACCAAGGCGACGAUCCCUAGCUGGUCUGAGAGGAUGACCAGCCACACUGGAACUGAGACACGGUCCAGACUCCUACGGGAGGCAGCAGUGGGGAAUAUUGCACAAUGGGCGCAAGCCUGAUGCAGCCAUGCCGCGUGUAUGAAGAAGGCCUUCGGGUUGUAAAGUACUUUCAGCGGGGAGGAAGGUGUUGCGGUUAAUAACCGCAGCAAUUGACGUUACCCGCAGAAGAAGCACCGGCUAACUCCGUGCCAGCAGCCGCGGUAAUACGGAGGGUGCAAGCGUUAAUCGGAAU